UACGAAGGGGGCUAGCGUUGCUCGGAAUUAUUGGGCGUAAAGAGCUCGUAGGUGGUUUGUUACGUCUGCUGUGAAAACCUAGGGCUUAACCCUGGGCUUGCAGUGGAUACGGGCAGACUAGAGGUAGGUAGGGGAGAAUGGAAUUCCUGGUGUAGCGGUGAAAUGCGCAGAUAUCAGGAGGAACACCGGUGGCGAAGGCGGUUCUCUGGGCCUUACCUGACACUGAGGAGCGAAAGCGUGGGGAGCGAACAGG
rnacentral:rRNA from 1 species